rnacentral:lncRNA from 1 species
CUGACUCGAGCGAUCACAGUUGGCCAGGGAAAAGUCAUGGAUGACAAAAGAAAGGCCAUGAAUGAAAGUCAGUCAAAAACUGGACAAACAUCCUUCGAGAUCUGGCCAUGAAACCACAAAAGCGAACACCCAGGAGCCACAGGAGGCCAUUACACAUCUAUGAUGGACAUGGUAGGCCAUGGAUUAGGGUGAGAUUGGAAGGUGGCGGCUAGGGUUCAUGAGGGCUUCAGAGAGAGUUGAGAGAGAAGAGGAAUUGAAGGG